GACGAACGCUGGCGGCGUGCUUAACACAUGCAAGUCGAACGAGAAGAGAUGAGAAGCUUGCUUCUUAUCAAUUCGAGUGGCAAACGGGUGAGUAACGCGUAUCCAACCUGCCCCACGGUGAGGGAUAACCCGCGGAAACGCGGCCUAAUACCUCAUGGCCUCCGAGUUUGCCAUCAACCUUGGAGUAAAGAUUCAUUGCCGUGGGAUGGGGAUGCGUCUGAUUAGCUUGUUGGCGGGGCAACGGCCCACCAAGGCUACGAUCAGUAGGGGUUCUGAGAGGAAAGCCCCCCCACAUUGGAACUGAGACACGGUCCAAACUCGUAGUGACU
rnacentral:rRNA from 1 species